UCUAGUUAAUGAAACUUAUGCAAUAAUUAUCCGCAUAAAAAUAACUGCACUGGACAGGUGAAAUUAACUUUAAUUCCGAAAUAAAUAACAGUUCUCUAACAUAGAAUAUAAAUUAAUCAUCUUCCAUUGAUUUUUUCUGACUUUCCAGACAGAAAUGAGGAAACGAUCAGUCCUUUCAAAUUUCCCCAGAACCCUAGGAGAAUUUAAAUAAAUAUUUUACCCGCAUCUACAGGGAGGGAAAAAUUCAGUGGAAAUUCCCGUACUGUGCAGCCAUCCACUUGCAGCUAAACGACACCGUAAUUUCAACUGAAAUUUGAACAAUAAUUUUUGUUCGAGUUCGAAAGUGAAAAGGAAGGUACAUCGACGAAGGCCAAAAUCCAGGAAAGCAUAACUAUUGCGUGACGACUAUAAACGGAUAAUACAAAUUAAAGAGUUGAAAGUGCAACAACCAAGAUGGCCCGGUGUACGCUUGGCUUCAGCACAGCAGCGUCAGCCCCCACCACGACCAGCGUCUCGUUCCCUUCAUCCAGCACUGGCACGCCGUAAUAAUACGGGCCUCAGCAAGAGUUGCCACGGUGCCUAGGUUGCCCGGGUUUCGGUGUUAGUCGGGCCAGAAAAGGGAUACGCCGGAGGUAGAGAUGGACCACUGCAAAAAGCAAAAGGGAAUAACAGGGAGGACUCUAUCUGACGCCGCGUGGAAUUAAACCACGAGAGAUAUUCCUCUUUGCAUUGCCCCUUUGGAUCUGUCGCUUAUCUGUGACGACAGUGUCGGCAUUGUUCAGGGCUGUAAUUUAUAAUGACAAUGUUUUCGCCUCAGCACUGAUAAGGCAUUUUACUUGGAAUGUGAAGGGAAAAUUGCGGAAAUAUUUGACAACUAGGGGAUGACAACUACACUGACAGGGCAAACAUUCAUUGAGUUGGCUCAAGCUCUGCUUGAGGCAGGAUAGCAAGGCAGUUGGCAGUUGAUCCAACCGGACCGCAAUGAUCAAUUUAAUCCACACACUGAAUUCGCAGAUCAAUAGUGUUGUCUCUACAAAGUUGUAAAAUAUCCUUUCAGAUCGUGACAUCCGAGGAAACUUAAUUUCCGUUGAGUUUCAAUGAAGUCUAGAAGUUACUUCACUCAACUCAUAAGAUUGACGAUCGCGUGUAACACACGUGAAAACUCAGGGAGAAAAGGUGAAGGGCUCUCAAGCUAUGCUCCUCAGGAGAGUGUCUGAGGAUUCAUGGUAUCCGGAUACGAGCUAGGUGAACUUCUGACCGGAAGUCAGGGGCUAAGUGUGGCUUCCGCUACCAUUACUGUUCGCUCCGUGUGAAUGGAUUUCUGGAAUAAGUGAAAUAAUAAUAAUGCUGUAUCAUGGAAGAGACUCCUCCACCGCUUGGAUACCUCAUAUUAUCGCAGUAAAACAGUUAAUAUGGUAAGCAAUAACUGUGCUGGCUCCAGGAUUAUGGAGAUAUAU